rnacentral:lncRNA from 1 species
UUUGUUUCGAGCCAGUGAGGGAGAUUCACUCUUCCUCUUCUGCAAAACUAUUUUGAACUCAUCAUUUAACGCCACCUGGUUCUGGAGACCCCACAACUCCAACACCACUGAUAAAAUCAUCAACCUUGGACUGGACUCUACUCACUUUGGAAAUCGACUCCAAAUCAAGAAUAAGAACAAUGACUUCUCUGCAUCCAUCACACCUGUAGACUGGAGCGACUCGGGGAUAUAUAAAUGUGAAAUUUCCAGUUCACCUGCCAGGACUGUCUUUGAAGUCGUGGUGGUGAGAGUUCAUGCUGAUCCUCAGCACCCAAACAAUGGUGAUGACGUCACUUUAAAAUGUGAGAUUUCUAAUCAGAUCCAGAAAAUAAAACUCUACUGGAUCAACAGGAAGACCCAAGAGAACUUUCCAAACCCACAUCAGCUGAGGAACGUUACAGCUGGCCAGAUGAACUGGGCAUGUGCUGUUUUUAACAGCUCCACGCUAAAAGCUCUUAUUCCACUAACUCUCACCAUCAGUCAGCCCCCGGGUGAGUCCAAAACAACAGCAAGCCCUGACGUAUCCCAGACUGCACCAGACUCACAGGGGAUAAGCCAGCAGAUCAUCUUAAUUGGAAUCUGCACUGUAUUCUUCUUCAUCCUGAUAGUCCUGAUUGGAGUCGUGUGCUGGAGAAAAAGGAUCAACGGUAAGAAGAACAUUUUCUUAAUUUGUCAAUCCAGUAGAGAUUCGGGUAUAAUGUUUAUAUGUUUCAAAA